CANGGGAAUUCCCAUGUGUAGUGGUAAAAAUGCGUAAAUACAUGGAGGAACACCAGUAGCGAAGGCGGCUUGCUGGGUCUUUACUGACGCUGAGGCACGAAAGCGUGGGAGCAAACAGGAUUAGAUACCCUGGUAGUCCACGCCGUAAACGAUGAGUACUAAACGUUGGGUAAAACCAGUGUUGAAGUUAACACAUUAAGUACUCCGCCUGAGUAGUACGUACGCAAGUAUGAAACUUAAAGGAAUUGACGGGACUCCGCACAAGCGGUGGAUCAUGUUGUUUAAUUCGAAGGUACCCGAGAAACCUCACCAGGUCUUGACAUGCUUCUGCAAAGCUGUAGAAACACAGUGGAGGUUAUCAGUUGCACAGGUGGUGCAUGGUUGUCGUCAGCUCGUGUCGUGAGAUGUUGGGUUAAGUCCCGCAACGAGCGCAACCCUUAUUGAUAGUUGCCAGCACGUAAUGGUGGGGACUUUAGCGAGACUGCCAGUGAUAAAUUGGAGGAAGGUGGGGACGACGUCAAAUCAUCAUGCCCCUUAUGACCUGGGCUACAAACGUGAUACAAUGGCUGUUACAAAGGGUAGCUGAAACGCAAGUUUUUGGCGAAUCUCAAAAAAACAGUCUCAGUUCGGAUUGAAGUCUGCAACUCGACUUCAUGAAGUUGGAAUCGCUAGUAAUCGCGAAUCAGCAUGUCGCGGUGAAUACGUUCUCGGGGUUUGUACACACCGCCCGUCA
rnacentral:rRNA from 1 species